GUGGUUUAAUUCGAAGAUACACGAAGAACCUUACCUGGCCUUGACAUGGUAGGAACCCUUAAGAGAUUAGGGGGUGCUAGCUUGCUAGAACCUACACACAGGUGCUGCACGGCUGUCGUCAGCUCGUGUCGUGAGAUGUUGGGUUAAGUCCCGCAACGAGCGCAACCCUCGUCCUUAGUUGCUAACAGUUCGGCUGAGCACUCUAGGGAGACUGCCUUCGCAAGGAGGAGGAAGGUGAGGACGACGUCAAGUCAUCAUGGCCCUUACGGCCAGGGCUACACACGUGCUACAAUGGGGCGUACAGAGAGCUGCGAUACCGCGAGGUGGAGCCAAUCUCUUAAAGCGUCUCUCAGUUCGGAUUGUUCUCUGCAACUCGAGAACAUGAAGCUGGAAUCACUAGUAAUCGCAGAUCAGCUAUGCUGCGGUGAAUACGUUCCCGGGUCUU
rnacentral:rRNA from 1 species